GAAGCCUACAGCUUCAGAGGCAUUUAUUUUUAGCCUGAUUAGCCUGAGAGGAUUUAAAAUCCCACCUAACUGUCAAGUAGAUAUUACAGUUGUAAUGGGCCUGUCACCAAAAGCAGCAUCUUUAUGUCAAGCAAACUCCAUAAGAGGCUCUGUAGCUGCAAGCUUUUACUGUGUGACCAAUUUCCUUCUGUUGUAGGCCUCUGAGACCAUGAUAGCAGCCAUGGGAUAGGAAUUCUGGAGAAAGAUCAUUCCAGAGCUUACAGGUCUUCUAUCAACAAUAUUCUCUUCCUCAGUCUCCUGAGUCCAGUGGAUACUGAUUUAAGAGAGGUUCUACCAACUUUUUGGAGUGUGGCUCUCAGCAUGCCAUUCAAAGACAGAUUGUGGUCCUUAUCUUGAAAACAAUGGUGUACAAUGACCUGAAAGAUUUCCACUUGGGUGUCUAUCCAGGCAUGGGUAAAGCUGUAGUUAAACAAAAGUAAUGACCUGUUACAAAAUAAUAAAUAAAACAAAUCAGUAA